AUGCCGUCCAACAUGGCGGACGAAGAAGAGGACCCGGUUGUGCAUGAGGUUGAUGUAUUUCUGUCCAAAAGUCUUGCUGCAAAUCUUUACUUGUUGCAGUAUCCUGUUCGGCCAGAGAGAAUGACAUAUGAUGAUAUAGAUAUUCAGACAGCUAGAGUUAAACCAGUCCAGCAAAAACUUGAAUUAGAGUGUGCACUUAACACGAGAAGUGACCAUUAUGCCCGCAGUAAGGGGGAGCAGAUUGCUCUCAAUGUUGACGGUGCCUUUGGUGGAAACCCUGCCGACUCUUUUUAUUCAAGUGACAAAAUGGACAAACAAGUUUUAACUUCUUUUUCUACUGGAGAGAAGUCAGGGAGAUAUGCAGUAGGGAUUUUCAAAGAUGGAGAACUCCAUCUGACACCUUUGCACGCUAUCGUACAGAUGAGACCAAGUUUCAGUUAUCUGGACAGAGCAGACCAGAAGAUAAAGACAGAUGUUGGGCCAGCAGGAGAUGGUGGCGAGUCCUCACAGGAUGAGGAAGAGGAAGUGAAGCCAGUAACAGUAAAGUUUGCCCAUCAGGAAUCCGAGGAGGCCAAGGCACGUAGAAUGGCUUCAUUUGAUUAUCUACAAAAAAAGCAACAAGAGGAGACUUGGCAGCAGCUGGAAUACAACAACAUUAAUAGUGGAAGAGCCGAGUCUAGAAGAUUACAGUUGUAUGCUGGGAAGGCUGACGAGUUGUCAGAGUUCCAGCUACAGCCCGGGGAAUACCUCCAGGCACUUAUGCCGGAGACAGACGCAGAACAGGAAGAGAAACCUGCCAUGCCAAGUAAUGUGUUGUCUUUGAUCCAACUGAGGACCAUGCCUCUUCAUGACCAAGUGAAAACACUUCUAACAAAUGCAAAGGUAAUCCGGUUCAGCCAGCUGUUGGCUCUACUCCCCCAGGGUAUAGAAGCAACAGGGGUCCUCAGAUCCCUUCAACAGGUGGCGGUGCUGGUACAAGGUUGCUGGGUCGUGAAGAGUGAGAUUUUGUACCCUAAAGAGGCCACCAGUCCACACAGUGGGGUCUCUGCAGACCAUCUGUGUAGAGGAAGAGAUUAUGUGAUGUGGAGAUUUACUCAGUCCAGGCAUGUAACUAGAAAGGACAUUGCUUCCAUUGUAAAGUUGCCUGCGGAAGAUGUGAAAGAAAUCCUAGAACAAAUCUCUCGGAUUCGUGUGAAUUGUGGCUGGGAAUUUCUGUUCUCUUACGAUUCCGAGUUUACUUCCAGAUAUGGUGAUAUUGUUCAAAGGCAGAAAAUGUUAUGGGAUGCAAAAUACCAAGGUUUGGCCAAGCAAUUGAAAAUCCCCAAGGAACAUGAGAAAAAGUUCAAAGACAAAGAUCCAGUUUUUCCUCCUGGAGAAAAGCCGAUGAGACGGAGGAGAAAUUCUUCCAGGUCUUCUACGGGCACGCGUCGAAAGAGAACCUUAAGUGGGCGGUCUCUGUCAGACUACAGUGAUCAAGAGAUGGACGCCAUUAAACAGGAUCUAGAAAACCAUGAUGACAUUCUAUCCCGAGGUGAAGAACCCAUGGAAGUGUCGUCUGCCAAACUACCAAACUCCAAUGGCACAAUGGAGGUCACCCCCAAUUCUGACUGUGAUAAAACAAUGGAGGAGAAUUCCAAUCUGAACUCUGCAGAUUUUAAACUUGAAGUGCUUAACUUUGUGAGGGAGAAACUUUACACUAGAUUCGUGGUCAGUGCUAGUGAACUAAGAAGACUUUUUCAAAUGCAUCUGGCUCAGUGUCCGCCGGGCCACAUUCUGUCAUCCGGGGUGUCUGAUAAGAUUCUGGAGGAGUCCAUUUUAAAUGUUGGAGGGGUGCAACUAGAAAAUCAGUGGCCACCAAACACUCAACAAGAGCCAAUGUUUGCCUUACCCAAAAUGGGUGACAGCCUAGACCCUGCGAGGACUGUUUUGCUGAAUUACUUUACCUCUAGUCAUAAGAUCAGCAGAAAGCAGUUCGUGAAGGCAGUGGAGGAUGGAUGUGGUAUGACUCUCUCUGAGCAGGACACAAAACUUUUACUCAAGGAUUACUGUGCCCAGAAAGGUAACAGCUGGAUGCUGAAGGGAACUGUCCCCGCCUCAUGACCCAUGCUGUGUUCUAGCCGCCUCUGUCUGCUUCUUGUUUCCAUUUGUUUUCAUAAAAUACUAGAUGAUGCUACAAUUUCGUUUGAGUUUCUUUUUUUAUAUAAUUAGGGAUAACUUUAUGAUUUACUGUAUACACAUAUUUGGACAUUUAAAAUACAUACCAUUGUUGAAAUUUAAUUAUGAUAGAAUUUACUUUAAUCUAUUAGAUAAAUGUUCAGAUGGGUUAAAUGAAUAAAAAAAAAAGUGUUAAGAAAUACUGUAUAUAGAGAA
rnacentral:misc_RNA from 1 species